ACGAUCAUAGACUGACUACCCAACAUGCAUCAUAUACGCUGUGUGACUCUGAUCAUCUCACAAUACUUGUAGAUGAAUCAACGUAUCGUUGGCAGUGAACAUAUACUCAUGCAUAGCAUCUAUCUUUAUUGUCAUUGUCCAUCCACUCAUCAAAUAUAGCUCGUUGACUAUGGGUUAGAUGAGUUGUUAACAUUAGAAUAAUCUGGUAGAAAAUAUUGCUUAAUUUUUUAAAAUUAAAAAUAAUUCUUAAGUUUGUGAGCCAGUCUAUAUAAUCGGUUUCGGUUAAUCGAUUGAUAUCUAAGAAUCAAGCUAGAGGGUUGGAAGUUGACACAAUGAACAACAAAGAGUAAAGAUUCUAAUUGGAUCUUUGUACUUAUUUCAAUAAUUUACUCUAAGAAUUUUUAGAUGCAAAAAAAGAUUCUCACUAUUUUAUCAGAUCUCCCACACUCUCCGGAUAGAGAAAUAAAAAUCUUGAUGUGCAAUUGAAUUUUUAGUGGGUGCUGCGAUCCCACCGAUACCGUGCACCUCACCUAACAGUUAUUGGUAGCAUGAAUGAAUAUUAAUGCAUGGACAACUCUUUAUCCAAAUGCUUUUCUAAGCAUAUUACAGCCACUUAAUCUCUAAGUCGUGGGCUCAUCUAACAGUUAUUGCCUACACUUCUUAGUUAAGCCAGAUCCACCGUUCACAAGCAAGUGCAAAGCUGUCAUUGGGUCUCUCACCUAACAGUUAUUGGGCCUAACUCCAUCUUUACCUUGGAGCAAUUCUUUGCUAAUAGAGUGAUUGUGUGUUCCC
rnacentral:lncRNA from 1 species